UACGGGGGGAGCAAGCGUUGUUCGGAUUUACUGGGCGUAAAGGGCGCGUAGGCGGCGUGACAAGUCACUUGUGAAAUCUCCGGGCUUAACUCGGAACGGUCAAGUGAUACUGUCGUGCUAGAGUACAGAAGGGGCAACUGGAAUUCGCGGUGUAGCGGUGAAAUGCAUAGAUAUCACGCAGAACUCCGAUUGCGAAGGCAGCAUACCGGCGCCCGACUGACGCUGAGGCUCGAAAGCGUGGGGAGCAAACAGG
rnacentral:rRNA from 1 species